CAAAGGAUAGUUUAUAAAAAUAUAAAUUUUGGAGAUUUAAGAUAAGAGAAAAAUCUUUCCUUUGA
rnacentral:tRNA from 1 species